ACCUGCCCAUUGGAAUCUAAAAGGCCGCGGUAUUAUGACCGUGCUAAGGUAGCAUAAUCAUUAGUCUUUUAAUUGGAGGCUGGUAUGAAUGGUUGGACAAGAAAUAAGCUGUCUUAAAUAAAAAUAUUGAAUUUAACUUUUAAGUGAAAAGGCUUAAAUUUUCUAAGGGGACGAUAAGACCCUAUAAAACUUUAUAUUUUAAAAUAAUAAUUAAUUUUAUAUAGAAGAUUUAUUUUUAAAUAUUUUAUUGGGGUGAUAAAGAUAAAAUGUGAGAUAACUGUCUUUUUUUUUUUUACAAUUAAUAUUUGAGUAAAAGAUCUUAACAAAGGAAAUAAGAGAUUAAGUUACUUUAGGGAUAACAGCGUAAUUUUCUUUAAGAGUUCUUAUCGACAAGAAAGUUUGCGACCUCGAUGUUGAAUUAAAAGUUCUUUAUAGAGUAGAUAUUAUAAUAGAGGGUCUGUUCGACCCUUAAAAUUUUACGUG
rnacentral:rRNA from 1 species